UGGGGGAUAUUGCACAAUGGGCGAAAGCCUGAUGCAGCGACGCUGCGUGGGGGAUGAAGGCUUUCGGGUUGUAAACCUCUUUCGCUAUCGAACAAGGCCCGCUUAGGGUGGGUUGAGGGUAGGUGGAGAAGAAGCGCCGGCUAACUACGUGCCAGCAGCCGCGGUAAUACGUAGGGCGCGAGCGUUGUCCGGAAUUAUUGGGCGUAAAGGGCUUGUAGGCGGCUUGUUGCGCCUGCUGUGAAAACGCGGGGCUUAACUUCGCGCGUGCAGUGGGUACGGGCAGGCUUGAGUGUGGUAGGGGUGACUGGAAUUCCAGGUGUAGCGGUGGAAUGCGCAGAUAUCUGGAGGAACACCGAUGGCGAGGGCAGGUCACUGGGCCAUUACUGACGCUGAGGAGCGAAAGCAUGGGUAGCGAACAGG
rnacentral:rRNA from 1 species